CCUACGGGCGGCAGCAGUGAGGAAUAUUGGUCAAUGGGCGAGAGCCUGAACCAGCCAAGUCGCGUGAAGGAUGAAGGCGCUACGGGUUGUAAACUUCUUUUGUCAGGGAGCAAUUGAGUCCACGUGUGGUCUUAGCGAGAGUACCGGAAGAAAAAGCAUCGGCGAACUCUGUGCCAGAAGCCGCGGUAAUACGGGGGAUGCGAGCGUUAUCCGGAUUUAUUGGGUUUAAAGGGUGCGUAGGCGGAAUAUCAAGGCAGCGGUAAAAAUUCGGGGCUCAACCCCGUCGGGCCGUUGAAACUGGUGUUCUUGAGUGGGCGAGAAGUAUGCGGAAGGCGUGGUGUAGCGGUGAAAUGCAUAGAUAUCACGCAGAACCCCGAUUGCGAAGGCAGCAUACCGUCGCCCAACUGACGCUGAAGCACGAAAGCGUGGGGAUCGAACAGGAUUAGAUACCCGAGUAGUC
rnacentral:rRNA from 1 species